rnacentral:rRNA from 1 species
GAUGAACGCUGGCGGCGUGCCUAAUACAUGCAAGUCGAGCGAGCGGCUGACGGGGGAGUAACACGUGAGUAACCUGCCCUUUUCUUUGGGAUAAGCCUGGGAAACUGGGUUUAAUACUGGAUGGAUUGGGAUGGGCUAGCGGCUUAUCAGCAUGUUGGUGGGGUGGUGGCUUAACAAGUCUUUGACGGGUUGCCGGCCUGAGAGGGUGGUCGGGCACACUGGGACUGAGAUACGGCCCAGACUCCUACGGGAGGCAACAGAUGGGGAUAUUGCACAAUGGACGAAAGUCUGAUGCAGCGACGUCGUGUGGGGGAUGAAGGCCUUCGGGUUGUAAACUCCUUUCGCCCGCGGAAUGUUAGUGGGUAAAGAAGCGCCGGCUAACUACGUGCCAGCAGCCGCGGUAAUAC